CAGGUAAUUACUUACAAAUUAACUUCUAAACAAUUGAUUUUUGGCCCGUCCAUCGCAUGUAAUGCUUUUGUUGGUGCAGGAGGAUUGUAAAGAAUGGAUGGCGAUGAGAAGGGCUUUCGGUGCAGUAUUUGACAUCUUCAAUCCACCACCAGGAGCAAUUAAUUUGAGGAUGCAAGUGAGUGGCAGCGCAGGGCUCAGAUGGGUUGUGGCAAACAAUGCUAUUCCCAAAGUAUGGAAAGCUGGAGUUGCUUAUGGAUCAGCAAUUCAACUUGCAUAAAUUUGAGAUAUCCCAAGCUUUAUUAUUCCUGGUUCCGGGUUAUCAGCUUCUUAAUGUCAUUUAGAUAUUCUAGUAUGUUGUUGCCCAGCAUCAGUAAGUGCUGUUACUUUAUCUUCUUCUUUUUUUCAGUUUGUUGCUUAGUGUGUAUUGUGGACUCCUGCCUCCUCAACCCUUAACUAGUUGCUAAAUAAAUAGUGGGAUUGCGUAUUUUAAUUAGAUCUUUUGAUCUAAUCCAUGAAGGAGUAAAUUAAUAAAAUUAUGCUUUCUUUAAAAUAAAAUCGUACAUCCGUCUCAUUUGUGUUGUCUCUGUGUGUGUGGUUGUUUAAUUUCUUCUGAAUAUUUAAGUAACUCCUUCUGCAACGAAUAGUAAUAAGUAAAAUUGAUGUAUUAUCAAACAACAUACAUCGUCGAUAAUAUUCCUUGGUGAUUACAACAUGUGAAACAACAUAUUUCAAAUGUAAAAAUUGUAAAAUAAACAGACGGGCCAUUCUAUUUUAGAAUUGAAGAUUAGCCAAAUCUUUUGUUAAUUGUUUAUAAAAGUAAAAUAAAUAUCUACCAACCACUCUUUGUUUGGCACUUUAUAAAAAAUAUACUAAUUUUUUUUUCUUUUGUGGCUAUCCACGUAAAGUUUACAAAAUGUAUGAUUUUUUUACUUUUUCAUUAAUAGAAUAUUAAUUAAACAACCACUAUAUCGUUAAAAUAUUAUUUAAUCCUAGCUAGUAAGUAAAUGAUGAAAAAAAAUUCCAAUUUGUAGCUGUUGGAACCAAUAGCAGCGAUAAAUUUAGUUAGAUGGAUUCAUCAAACCUACUGAUUUAACAAUAUAAAAUCACCAAAAUAACCACCAUAACUAAUUUGUAAUUCAUUCACAACAUAAAUUCAGAACCUCUGCUCAUAUAAUCCAUCCUAAAUAAUCUUUGACAACAAUAACAAGUCUUUGAAAGCAAUAAAUCACCAAUAAAAACAAUCAUGGUUAUCCAAAUUUUAUGUAAAAGAAACAUAAAAGUAGUUAUAGAAAACCUUAAACAUUACCAAUUAUGAUGAGCAUAGAGUUUACAGUUUGUUUCCAUCAAUUCAAAAUAAAACAUAUUCUAAAAUUAUCUAAAACAACAACUAAUAAAUAAUCUAUUUACAUUUAGGGGAUAAAAUAGUCUUUUAACAACAUCCUAUUAAAUCAUCUAAUGCUAUUAAUGGAAAAGUAGAAAAAUAAUAAAAAAUUGCAAAAGAAAAGUUUUUGGCGUAUUUUUAAUAAAGCGUAGAAUAUAUUUACCCAUAAAACUACAUAUAAUAAAUUCUUCAACCAACGUACUACAUUAAUUUCAUCUUUAGCUCUUCCGGUAAGCACUGGUUAAUGAAUGAUUUUAGGUACACCAUAAAAGGAAAACAGUCGAUAUUGUGAAUUUUUUUUUUUUUUUGUAAUUUGUUACAUUUCUCAUACGCAAACAACAUAUAAAGCAUGUUCAAAAUGAUACUGCUACGUAUACUUGGAAAAAUAAAUUAACAAGAAGUGACGGCACAAUAUCUAUUUCUCCUCUUUCGGAAGUGUUGUAAUCUUACAGGAAAUGACCAGGACAUAACACCCCUUGGAAGCAUCAUAACACUUGCCUAUAUUAAAGCAAAGUCCUUAACAGAAUUUGACAUUUGGCAUUGGAAGGGAAGAAUGCAUCAAACGAGGGCUGCAUUGACUGUGUUAAGUUCUUCAGAAUUAGAGCAACUGUCGGUAAAGGACCGUCAACUUGCACAAGUUAUCGGCUGUUUUGUACAUUUUGACGCAGUUACUGGUUCGAGUCGUAGGAGUAACAGUUUAUACGCAUCCAUUAAACAUCAGAUAAAUGGAACAAGUGAUAUGACUAACAGAGCACUUAAAUUUAAGUGUACGUCCUAGAUUCAAAAGCCUUUGUAUCACCACGGAUCACUCUUACAGGAUUCUGUUCAUGUAUGCUGUUCGCUAGAGCUAGAUUCCCUCGUUCAAGCUUCUGAUCUUCAGGUUCCUUGCCUCCGUUCAUCACAUUCCCUCCCUGACCAGUGUAAAUCAAAACAUCUGAGUUGUCCAAAGUUAUCAUCGUAACCCCCAGAUGCUACAAUACUUGUAGCAAGAUUUUUUCCCUUGCGCUUGACAUAAUCUAUACCACCCUGAAUUUGGAGAUGAAGACCAAUCAUAUUCAGCUCCACCCUGUAUUGAAACUCGUCGCCCACUUCAACUCCUGGAACCGAUCCAAUGACUUUUUUUGUCGACAGGGAUGUAUUUCUUUUUGUCCUUGAGAAUCCUUGCUGCUAGGUAAUCAACCCUCUUAUGAGAAUUUUGUCUGCUGGGUUUUGCUUCUUCUUCGUGCAACAGCUUCCUACAAACAGCUUGAAACAGACACAAUGUCUCCCUCACCUUGUUUCGGGCACCAAUAGCAUUAUUUUCAGGACCUUUACCACUUGAACUCCUGGGAUGAGGAGGGAGGGUCACAUAACAAACGUGGGCAUGUGCGCCUUUGGUUGCAUUCCUCCUAUGAGUCAAUCAAUGAUCCUAUUAUCGACUUAAAUAAUGACUUAGACAUCAAAGGGUUCAAGCAUACCUUUUGCACACUGGAGCGGGGGUGCUACGGAUGUAAUAGUAAAAGUCUAUAAAUCUGCUAAUUUUGGUGAAAGUAUCCUUAUGGUAUAUUUUAUAGUACUACAGUAGGACCAAGUUGAGACAUAUGGUAAAUAAACAGAAUAAUUUAUUGUUCUACAAAUCAAUAGGGAUCCUUGUGAGAAUAACUCGCGUUCCCAUCAUUUUUAAUAAAACCCACAAACUCUUCCCCCUUUCACAUUACACUAAACUCAAACUCCCCUCUCUCUCUCUCAUACAACUCCAAAACUAAAAACACUCACUAGAUCAUCCAAAAUUUUCGCAAAGUGUAGGAAGGGGAUGCUGCGAGAAGAUAAGUAGUUUAGAGACAUCAACCAUACACAUACUUUGGGCCCAAGUCUCCACAGUAUUAUUCCAUUAUUUACACUAGUGGUGGAUGUCCCAUUAAGGAGGGUGAUGUCAUUAUUCGAGUCCAUUAUAAGGACAGUCACUAUCUCUAUUUGAUCUCCCUCCCUCCAUCCCUUCUCUUCCAAUUAGUUGAUGCAUAUUUAGGGACUUGAAAUUCUUUCAUUGUGAAACAGUUCAUUGAAAUUAUUUUUUCAUUGGCUUCAAUAUUUUGUUAUUCAGUGGAAGUAUAGGUAGAUUGAAUCGACAAUGUCCAAACAAAGCUGAAAAGUAGUGGUUUUGAAUGACGUAAUGGCGAUGCCAAUCUCAAUGCAUUCGGCAAGUGGAGGGGAAGCAAUGUGGGUCAGAAUGAAGGUAGGUUUUGGUAAGAUAAAAUGUUGCUACCGAAGUGUGUGGAUCUAUAGAAUAUACUUUUAUCGUGNNNNNNNNNNNNNNNNNNNNNNNNNNNNNNNNNNNNNNNNNNNNNNNNNNNNNNNNNNNNNNNNNNNNNNNNNNNNNNNNNNNNNNNNNNNNNNNNNNNNNNNNNNNNNNNNNNNNNNNNNNNNNNNNNNNNNNNNNNNNNNNNNNNNNNNNNNNNUGUUUCAAAAUUUGUCAUAUUCUAAGGAUCGACACAAAUAUUGAUGGAUUGUGACAAUAAUUAGCAUUGUCAAAUAAGUAGAAAUCGGCACUCUUCCUGCGCUUGAUGUUGUUCUGUUAACGAGUGGCCAUUUACGAGCGACCAUUUUCAGUCUAGGCGUCCUUUGGGGUUCUGCCGGUAUAAUUUUUGUUGUAGAGAUCGGAAUUCCUCAAAACUAAGGGGGGUCUUCUCCGCAUUUCGACUGAUACUUACAAUAAAAAGAACUCAUUUUUGCGAUGAUGCAGUUACGAAUAUUUAUUUGAACACAAAAAGUGUUUAAGAAAAGCUUCUCUAAUGAGUUAUUCCACCACAAAUGGUUAGUUUCGACUGCCUUGGGGAAGUGUCAAAUAGCCGUAUGUGCUGUCCCAUUCGUUACUCUUUUUCAUUGUUUCACUGGUUUGCAUACACGAAUACAACAUUAUGCAGGCUAAUUAGUUAAAAGGGAAUGGCUAGGGCCGACAGAUGGAUGACGAGGAGCAUAGCUCACUUACCCCAUCUUCCAAUAAAUAGUAAUUUCCCAUUUAUUAAUGGAAAACUCUCUAGUUCUUUAGCACUACUCUUUAUUACUUGUUCUACAAGCCUCCUCUCUCGUGCAAUAAGUACACUUGGUUUUUCUUUUUUCUUUUUUUUUUUAUCUUACAUCGCACCAAACGUGUCAAAAACGACAAAGUUUAAAAUUUAUUUUGUGUUUUGCAGUGCAACAACUGCUAACUCAACUAUGAUUAAUGAGUGCUUCCGUCCCUAAUUUUCGAGCAUAGCUAAAUACGUUUGCCUGGCUUGACCCGUUUACUAGUGCGUUACAACCAAAAGACUGAUGGUGAUCAAGUGGGUUAAUCCAGUUGUUAUGAGCCUAUAGCAUUUGCUUUUGACUCGACAAAGCAAUUUGAAAAAACGCCAUUUUGGAUACACGUACAUCACGUACUAAAUCCAAUUGCUUGGUGUGGUUUCCCUAUUAGCCUUCAGUUCUUGACUCAAUAAGUAAUUUCCAGCUAGUUUCCAUAGGUUUUAAUUCCACAAUUUACUUAGCAUGAUGAUCGAGAAUAGGGUUGGCAAUGGGGUGAGUUGGAUGUGGAGAGGACUACCAUAUUCUUGAUUUUACUAAAAAUCUCGCCUCUAUUCCUCACCUCAUUCUCCAAUAAAUUUAGAGAGAUGGGGAAGGAAAAUCCCUAUAUAGGAAAUAAUUUUCUCAUUCCCCAUUUAUUUAUUUCAUAAUAGGUAUGAAUACGUGACUUUAGUAAAUUAAAAAUUAGAGACUUAAAUAAAAUCAUUAUCAUAUUAUAAAGUAUUUAAAUUAUUUUUAAAAAUCUCCAAAAUUUUGAAACACCUUCAACUGAUAUCAAAACUGAAAAAUAUUUAAAGAGAGCACCACUUCAUAAAGAAAAGAAGACAUUAUAAUAUUUUAAAGUUGAAUAAGAAUUAUAUUAUAGGAUUUUCUUUUAAUUAUAACCUAUUUAUAUUAGGUAAAAAUAAAAAAGAAAAUUUGUUAACCAACUUUGUAUUUGAUAAAACAAAAAUUAGUAAAUAUAUAUUAAAAAAUAUUUAUAUAUAAUGGGGAGUGAGGUGGGGGUGGGGUGGAGAAUACAAAAUCAAAUCUCAUCCCAUUAAGAGUUUGAGGAUUAUUUUUCCCUCAUUCCCUACUCUAUUCCCUAAAAAUUAUUUAAACCCCAUGAGAACCCAAACCGGUGUAAGAUUUUGCCAAUCUCUAAUCGCGAAAUCUUAAGUUUUCCCUUGUACGCAAGUCACAAGGUGUGUGCUAUUAGAUCUUUUGGCAUAAUUCAGUUGGUUGUCGAUAUUUUCACCCAAAUUCGAAUAAUGAUAAAGAACAAUGAUUGGUGUUUAGUGCUUUAAGUUUUUUAUCUCCAAUCAAUUUUUAAAAUAAAUAAAUAAAUAAUUUAUGCUAUUAGAACGUCUAAACGAAGCAAAACCAAACCAGCAAUUAACAAUUACUCGGUUGAUAAUAACUCGGUUGAUAAUAAUGGCAUUGGAGGUGAUUUUAUGAUUUUAUUGGUUGUUUUUAUAAUAAGUUUUUCUCUCUCAGCGACCGAAGUCUGUGGGUGGCAAAGGAAGUAUCCAAAAUAUGACAGAGAGACAAGUGUUAGGCGUAAAGUGAAAAACCUUUAUAUGGAAACUGUAACUUUCUGCUAAUAAUUAUGAUAAUGAGUCCAAUUCAUUUCAAAUAAGGGUCUUGAGGGGUCAAUAAUGGGGUCUACAUUCACACAUCAUCAAUCUAAUCUAACUCUCUGGUCCCAAGAGGAAGAAAAGAGGUGGCAAUUUCCCCUUAGCAGCAGCCCUCAAGGCCUCUACUAUAAAUAUGGCCAUUAACAUUUGUUAGCAACCCAUCUCAUAAGCUUCCUCCUUCGUACUGCUAACAAAGAUUUUGAUAUUUUGCAAAUGGGGUUAUGUCAAUACUACCUUCUUUCCGUCGUGAUGCUUUUGCCUGCAUUGUGUUACUCUCAGUACACAUUCACAAGUUCUAGAGCUACAUACUAUGGUAGCCCUGACGGCUUGGGGACACCAAGUAUGUAAAAAUCUCACCUUUAUAAAGCUAUGUACAUUAAACCCGUGCACAAGUUUACGCGAACUAAUAGUUCAUUUCAUUAUGCUUUAGAGAAUUUUUGUUUUGGUAUUUGUUUAUCUUUUAGAUUAACUAAUGUUCAUGUUGAUGAUUCAUCAGCUGGUGCUUGCGGGUUUGGUGGAUAUGGAAGAACUGUAAAUGAUGCUAACGUGGCCGGUGUGUCGAGGCUUUGGAAUAAUGGAACUGGUUGUGGAACUUGCUAUCAGGUAAUGGUUAUUAACUUUCAACCCACUCAAUCAUUGCAGUUUAUUGUAAAGCUAUAUAAUAAAUGUGUAAAGUGAACGAAUUGCUAAGACGGCUAAGCCUCUGCAUGAAAAGAAUUUGAAAACUUUAUUUAUUCAAAUUAUAUUGUUUAUAAAUAAAUAAAUAAAUAAAUAUAUAUAUAUAUAUAUAUAUAUAUAUAUAUAUAUAUAUAAAUGUAGUUGCAUGCAUAUUCUUCAUAAGACUGCUUAAAUAAUUUCAAGCAUCGUCAACAAUUUUAUGACCACUAAUAAUUCUUUUGGUUUUGUACCACCAAUUAAUAAUGAUUAGUUAAUUAAUUAACUUCAGGUCAGAUGCACUGUACCAGAAGUUUGCACAGAUUAUGGGGUGUCCGUGGUGGUGACUGACUAUGGUGAAGGAGACGACACAGACUUCAUCCUCAGCCCACGCGCAUAUGGAAGAAUGGCAAUUACAGAUAAGUCAGAAAAGCUUUAUUCUUAUGGUGUCGUCGACGUUGAAUUCGAGAGAGUCUCUUGCCGGUUCAGAGGCUACAACGUCAUGUUCAAGGUCCAUGAAAACAGCAGGUACCCGCAGUACUUGGCCGUAUCCAUGCUGUACGUAGGUGGCCAAAAUGACGUCCUAGCAGUUGAAAUAUGGCGGGUAAUUACUUACAAAUUAACUUCUAAACAAUUGAUUUUUGGCCCGUCCAUCGCAUGUAAUGCUUUUGUUGGUGCAGAAGGAUCGUCAUGAAUGGGUUGCGAUGAGAAGGGCUUUCGGUGCAGUAUUUGACAUCCCUAAUCCACCACCAGGAGCAAUUAAUUUGAGGUUUCAAGUGAGUGGCAGCGCGGGGCUCACAUGGGUUGUGGCAAACAAUGCUAUUCCAAAAAUAUGGAAGGCUGGAGUUGC
rnacentral:lncRNA from 1 species